rnacentral:misc_RNA from 1 species
AAUUGCCACUGUCUGUCCAGUCUGCACACAACCAACAUUGAUCAAUCAGAUGAAAUAAAAGAACAAACAAAAACCACUGUAAAAGUUCAGAAAACCAGCAUUGUAUUCAUAUACUCAAUAUUGAGAGGGCAAUUAAAACCUUUGCAAACCCUUAUUCCCCUUUUCUUUCCGCCUAACUUUCACCAGAAAACCAAACAAAAACCAUUGAAAUUCAAAUUUCUUCUAUUUUACAGUCCAAUUAUGCAAAUUUCUCUAACCCUUAUUGUAAAAAUAAAAAAAUAAACUACAAUAAAAGCAAACACGGAUAUGGGUGCAGUAAAUAUGAAAUCUUAGGGUUACCUUAGUAUCGAUGGCUUUGUAGAC